rnacentral:rRNA from 1 species
AAGCUCAAUUUGAAAUCUGGUACCUUCGGUGCCCGAGUUGUAAUUUGGAGAGGGCAACUUUGGGGCCGUUCCUUGUCUAUGUUCCUUGGAACAGGACGUCAUAGAGGGUGAGAAUCCCGUGUGGCGAGGAGUGCGGUUCUUUGUAAAGUGCCUUCGAAGAGUCGAGUUGUUUGGGAAUGCAGCUCUAAGUGGGUGGUAAAUUCCAUCUAAAGCUAAAUAUUGGCGAGAGACCGAUAGCGAACAAGUACAGUGAUGGAAAGAUGAAAAGAACUUUGAAAAGAGAGUGAAAAAGUACGUGAAAUUGUUGAAAGGGAAGGGCAUUUGAUCAGACAUGGUGUUUUGUGCCCUCUGCUCCUUGUGGGUAGGGGAAUCUCGCAUUUCACUGGGCCAGCAUCAGUUUUGGUGGCAGGAUAAAUCCAUAGGAAUGUAGCUUGCCUCGGUAAGUAUUAUAGCCUGUGGGAAUACUGCCAGCUGGGACUGAGGACUGCGACGUAAGUCAAGGAUGCUGGCAUAAUGGUUAUAUGCCGCCCGUCUU